UUAGCCACUGGAAAGUGAAGAUAAAAACCCAAAACAGUGUGCAAAACACGUUCCAAAACAGAUUGCUCAAAAACAAUGGUAGUGGUCUAAGCACACAAUAUUUUUCAGCACUUUUUAGGCUCUCUUUUGGUGCUCUUUUGAGGCCUUUUGCUUAAAAGCUUUUAGCACUUCUUUUUCCACUAUUUUAAGGUGCAAAAUAAG
rnacentral:lncRNA from 1 species